UUCUCAUCAAGAGAGGUUGAGGGACUGGCCCAAUGAAACCUCGGCAACCUUCAGGUUCAUCUAUCUGAAAAGGUGCCAACUCCUGCGAACGGAUUGCAUGUGUCCGACGAGAGAUGAGAG
rnacentral:ncRNA from 1 species